UAUUGAUCGAUAUUUUUGACGAGAAAUUUUUCUCAGUUCUUGUCAUGGAUCUCUAAAUUUUUCAUUUUUUUGAAUUUUUUCCAGAAAUCUACAUUUAUCUGCUUUAUAUGGCGCCGUCCAACAGGUACAUUUGAUAGUAAUAUGGCAGUGGAUAUCAAAGUGGUUGUCAGUGAGCUGGGAGAAUCUUCCUUAUUUAUCAGUAUUCCACUUGGGAAAAAUCACAUUAAACCUGUUUUAGACAAUAAGGAGAAAAUAAACAUUCAAUUCACUUUAACCUGUAACGACUGUCACAAAUCAUUUAAAGUAUUUGAUAAACUAGCUGGACAUCUAGAAGAACGGAAUUGUAAAAAUGAACUUCCAAAAAAGAAAUCACGACCAAGGCCACAACAGCCUGAAGAGGCUAAAGCCUAUCCUGAAUUGGAUAACUUUGACAAAGUUGAAACUCCAGUUGUUGCCUUAAAACGUCCAAGAAGAAAGUGUGUUCCAAAUAAAAGAUAUCAAAGUGAUGAUUUUACGACAGUUGAUUCUGUAAUGUCAGAUGUACCAGAGGCUCAAUCUAUCGGAGCAGGAGGAGAUGCUGGCAAUGCACAUAACAACACAGAUUCUGAGUCUGCACCAGGAGUCCAAGAUAACAAUCACAAAGCUGAUCUACCAUGCAAUGAUAUUGAAAAUGAAGAGGUUGAUCAUAAUAAUGAUGAAUCUAGAACUGCAACAAGUGAACAACAAGCAACAAUUAGUGAAAAAACUGAGCUUGGAGUAUCUGAUAAUGAGAACAAACAUGAUAUAACUAAAAUAUGUGAAGAAAAUGAUAAUGUUAAAGUAAAAGAUAGAAACACUGAUUCGGAUUAUGAAAUUGAAAAUGAGAAUAAAAGCCGCAGGGGUAGAAAACCUAAGAAACAAAAGAAAAGAAUAUUGACUAAAACAUUAAACAAUGUGAACAAAUUAUCUACUUGUGAUCUCUGUUUGAAAGUGUUUGGUUCCAAGCAAAAACUUCAUGACCACAAGAGAAAAACUCAUGCCCCAGAACAUAUAAAGAGGGCACUGAGAGGCCCAAGGAAAUUAGAGAAAAGUAAGAGUUUCAAAUGUCAAUAUUGUCCCCAGAGAUAUUUUGCUACUAAAGCGGAGACUGAGUUACAUGAAGCUUGCCACUCGGAUGAUGUAUUUAAAUGUCCAUAUUGUGAAGUUUCUAACACAAUAUGGGGAGUCAUUCUCUCACACAUACUGCAGAAACAUCCUGAAUCACGGGACAUUUUCCAAAGAGUGAAAGAUAAAUAUUUUGGAUCUUACAAAUGCUCAAGUUGUCCUAAAACCUUCCCAACUCUUAGUCGUAAAACACAACAUGAAAAGUUCCAUGAUAAUAAGGAAUAUACAUGUGAAGUAUGUGGCAAGAUUUUCUUCACAAAUGCCACACGGUUUCAAUAUCACGUGGAUUUAUGCAAAACAGGUUGUGGAAGUUUUAAUUGUGAAAAAUGUGACUUUAAGACAACAGUCAAAAGCAUAUUUGAAGGUCAUUUGGCGUGUCAUGAAGGAAAUGGACAUGAAUGUGAAGUUUGUAAAAAACAAUUUCCAGUACGACAUAUGCUAAAGCAACAUGAACGAACUCACCUGGGUGACAAAGGAGCUCAUGUAUGUGACCAUUGUGGUCAAAAAUAUAAAAUCCGAUCCUCCCUGUUGGUCCAUGUGAAACGUGCACACUCGGACAUGACUACUGGAGAGCUCUACAUGUGCCAAGAAUGUAACUUUCAUUCUAAGUUAAAAGCGGAUGUAGCACGACAUUUCCGAUUCGUUCAUGACAAACCUUACAAAUGUGAUAAAUGUGACUUUCAGACAGCUUCACAGAAUGUAUUUCAGGAGCAUGAAGAAUAUCAUAAAGGAUUGAGGCCAUUUACGUGUGAAUUCUGUAACUAUGCAGGGCGUUCCAGCCUUACUCUCAGGGAUCAUGUGCAUGCUGUACACACGCUGCAGAAAGACAUUGUCUGCCCCAUAGAAAACUGUGGCCAGACAUUUAAAAAACAAGUUUAUCUGCGACGGCACAUGACAAAACAUACUGGGGAAAAACCAUUCCGCUGUGAUGUUUGCAAGAUGGCCUUCCGAAGCCAUGCGACAAUGUAUCGCCAUCGUGCCAGGGUACACCCAGAGACUGCCAAGACCAACCGAAAAUCAAGAUCUCAACCAAGAGCCACUGAGUUCCAAUUUGAACAAACUGAUUUAGGGCCAGAUGGUGGCAAUCUGAUUCAUAUCAUAGAGGACCAUGAUAAUCAGUUUGCAUCUUUAGUUCAAGCUGUUGAAAAACACUUGAUUCCAUCAACUGAAGAUUCAGAAUCUCAUGUGGUGUUACCUCCUGAUGUAGAUUUCACUGAAGGACAAGAACAUGAAGAGACACCACAAUAUAUUCAGGAAAUUGCCGAAGAGCAGAUUGUAUUAACUGAUGAUCAUAAUUCUCAAGAAUUCAUAUCAACAGACAAUUUUGGGACACAAAAUAUUGAAAAUGUAAAUGGUGAUUCUGAAACUGUGAUAUUAAAUUCAGGUUUAGAUAAUAAUAGUGAAACCCCAGGAGAAACAUAUGUUUUAAUAAAUAAUAGAAAUAUUGAUGUUCCUGAAUCUUAUUAUGUAGUGGUAGAUGGUGGAAUCACAGAUGAGCAUGUAGUCAUGCAAGACAAUGCUGAAGUAAAUGAACAUG
rnacentral:misc_RNA from 1 species